UAUUAAGACUGUUCCGCUGAAGGAAUUGUGUUCAAAAUUUACUUUUACUGUGUAAAAUUUGUUUAAUGUUUAAACUAAAAACUCAACUUUUUCAAGUUAUUAACAACAUAAAUUAAUUAAAAGCUAAGACACAUUUACUUUCAUAACGCAAGGUUAUAGUUUGUUGAUAAACAUAAAAGGAGGAUAAUUCAAUAAAUUGUUUUGUAGGCUAAGGCUGGAAGAGUUACCCGCCAUGGCUUCACGUUGUUUAAAAAUAUGCUAUUCGUUUGUUUUGGCGACCCUAGCCUUACACGUUUACUCAUUGGUCAGUCCUAUCUGGGUCACUGGGCCAGCGCUAUUUUUAGUAUUCGGAAACGAGGUGUGCUGGCCUUUUACUGACGGCUGUCAAGAUGACCUCAAUGUUGUCAGUGAAGGGUGGUUUAUUGCUAGUCAAGGCUUGGAACUAAUUGCAUUGGGGAUAAUCUUAAUUUCAUUAACCCUCUCCACGGUCGACUUGUGUAGCUUCAAGGACUGGGGCUGUAGCUAUGUCGUUGGAGGGUUAAUGAUUAUGGCAGCUGUCAACAUUGGGGUCGCCGCUGCUAUCAUUCACGUCUGCUCCGUAGAGUUUCUCAACCAGCUACUCUACGAUCCCAGAACACCUUUCUUCUGGGUCAACGUGACGUCAGCCGUUCUAGCUCUGAUGACGGGCGGUGGCUAUCUGGGUCAAGGCUGUCGAGAUGUUGUUUAACUUGUUUUUAAAUUAUUCACUUCCGUGCAGGGGUAGUAGAGUUGAUCUGGAGCGUGGGGGUGUAAGAGCGAGCAGUGUUGAUGGAAUGAGAGAGAAGACAGAGUGAAGGAAAUACCUGGAGCUCAAUCAUAACAAUUGUCUUGUAGGACCGGUCGGUUCGGUGAAAAAAUGCGCAAUCGGAAAAAUGCGCAAUCGGAAAAAUGCGCAAUGGAAAACUAUGCAAACAGGAAAAUGCGGAAACACAAACUAAUCAUACUAAUACACUUUAAUUUUGUCAUCUUUUGUGGAAAUAAGUUUCAUUAUGCUAAAGUGUACCUGUAGUCACUCUUCCUUAAUUUCUAUAAAUGACGGAUUCUUAAAGUUUUCCAUGGCGCAUCUUUCAGGUAACCAGGGCGGUCCAUAAAUGACGUCACUCAAUAAAUAUUUUUCAUUAACUUUUUUUUUAAAAUGACGAAAAGCAAGUGAAUGUUUGCUAGGAUUACGGUUUGUUUUAACGUUAUUAGUGUGUAGAUGAGU